GGCGUUGUGGCGGAGUGGUUAACGCGGUUGACUCGAACGGUUUCUCUUCACGAGAUGGGUUCUGCAAUCAACUUCCUUCGGGAGCGCAUGUUCGAAUCAUGUCAACGUCG
rfam:Trichosporon asahii var. asahii CBS 8904 unplaced genomic scaffold scaffold00066, whole genome shotgun sequence.